rnacentral:rRNA from 1 species
UACAGGGGGUGCAAACGUUGCUCGGAAUCAUUGGGCGUAAAGCGCACGUAGGCGGUUCGUUAUGUCGGAUGUGAAAGCCCUUGGCUUAACCGAGGAAGUGCAUCCGAAACUGGCGAGCUAGAGUACUAAAGAGGGUCGCGGAAUUCCCGGUGUAGAGGUGAAAUUCGUAGAUAUCGGGAGGAACACCGGUGGCGAAGGCGGCGACCUGGGUGGAUACUGACGCUGAGGUGCGAAAGCGUGGGGAGCAAACAGG